UUAGACAUUUGGGUAUGAGCUCACUGGCAAAGAGUGAAGCCCAUAUAAUCUACCAUUAAAUAAAUUAUUCAGUAAUCUGUGAUGUCCUUGUAACAUGAGAAUCCCCUAUUUAAAAAAAAAUAGCUGCACUGCUUACAGAGGCACAUGCCUGCUAUUUAUAGUCUUUAUGGAAGUUGCUUUGCUAGCAAAUCCAACUAGAACUCCCCGGGAAUCUACAAGGAUUGAUGUUUACUGCAGGGUUUUUACACUGAGCUAUUUUGCAUAUGUGUGGGUGUGUGAUGCACACACAGAGGACUGACGGAGAAAGCCCAAGCAGGUAUGAGGUAUUUGUUAGCUCUGCUCCAUUUUCCUCUUAACAUUCAGGAAACUCAAAUAGGGACAAAGUAACUACAGGUCACCCACAGAUCCAGUGAUAUGUAUUCCUGACUGUAUCCAGGCAACUGGGGCUCUACUUUUUUCUAAGAAGACAUGUUAGUUCUCUGCCAACAAUGUCAGAUUUCUCUCACAGACAAAGCAGACCCAGGGGCACUGAGCCUCCCUUUUUACUUCCCCUUUUCCCCCAGGUGCGAGUAUGAUGUCCUGAAGACAGGAGGGGAUGUGGGUUGCAGGGAGUCAAGGAAUCAGGGAGGCAGCUUGCAGAUCAGAGUGGGGCAGAUGGCCUACAUGAAUUCUCAUUCUGGAAGGGCUGGAAAAGAAACAGCCAGGUUGGCU
rnacentral:lncRNA from 1 species